CGGGUGCUUAAGGAUGCAGGAUCCUGGUUUUAAUGACGGAAGCACAGAACGAUUAAGCCAUUUGUCAGACUUCGGAUAUGAAGGACUGUAGCAGAGCAAAUAGCAGAAGCCAGCUUUAGAUCUUUACCUGGAGUGGAAAGCCACAGGCCACUCAACAGAAACAACAAUACGAAGAGACUGCUGGGUGCUCACAGCACGGAGACAAGAGACUGCGAAUCAGGAAUAUGUUUAUCUGUCCUUGGAAGUAUCCUUGCUGUAUAGCAUUAAGGGGAUGUCCUGGGGACCCUUGGAUAUUUCAUGGAUUCAGGACCCCAUUAACACAUGCUGCUGCUAUACUUCAGUGCUCUCCCUGCCCACACUAUGCUGUUCCUGACAUUAAUACGACUAUUUACCUGAGCAGGGAUAUUCAAAUGUUACUGACUAGAACGUCUGAAGGGAGUUAAGCAAAGAUAAACAGCACUACAGUGGAGUCAAAACUAGAAGCAGGCAGAUGAAUAAAGACAUAGUUUUCUUCUGUUAGCCCUCCAGAGUCUGGAAUAAGGUCUACGUUGUUUAUUGCUCUUCUUCAAGUGAGAUCUUUAAAAUCUCUUAAACUCCUGUUAAGUAUAUGAGUUUUGCAUUUUCUAGCUUGGAAAAAAAAAAAAAAAAGAGAUUAUCUAAGAAAUAAAAUAUU